AGUCCGCACAACAAAACACCGAUUAAUCGGACGUCUCAACAAAACUCCUCACUAACAGAUAACACAUCUCUAACAAACAAAAGUAAACAAACCAAAAAUUGACGACUUUUGCGGAAUGGUGGCAUAGAUGGAGUCGCCACGACGCUCCCGCCCAACCUGUGGUGCCUCCGGUGUGUCUAGGGGCACCACCCAUCUCCGGCGGACCGGAGUCUAAUCCAGGCGGCUCGACGGCCGGCCCAUCUCCCCAGGUAUUUAAGGCUAACAUUGGCAGAGUACAUAUUUGUAACCCAGGUAACACCUCACUUGCUCCCGGCGAGAGCGUGGCCUCAGCCAGGGAUGCGCUCGCGCCAAGGCUGCCAAGCAAAUGUUUCCGGAUAUCGCGGAGGAGAAGCGGCGCUCCGCCAACACACAACAGGCCACAACCUGGCCAAAAGAAUUUGCUACUUCCAACCUGAUAUCCCUACUGGAGCUCCAAGAGAAAUAAAAGGGGAGAGGGUUCUACUUCGAUUUUGGUCCAGCUUCUUCACCCCGAAUCGGCCCUAUUGCAGCCUUGUGUUGCACAAAUCCCGGACCCAGGGACUACAACAACGCAGAGGACAAAUUACGGCGAUACCAACUAGAAGGCACUAUUGGCGACCCGCAAAUGGCUUCGGUGGCCUGAGUGGCCAGAAAUCGUGACGACUGUUGGCGACGGCUAGCCCGAGGAAAGUAGGGCCAGUAGGACGCAGCCACGGCCACGUCGAUUCGGAGAAGAGGCAGAGCCAAUGGAUGUCCCCAAAUAUGGGUACGAAAAAACCUGCCGGUUCCGGACGGCGCUUAACGGAACGGACUCACCGGAUUCCCGUUUGGCUCGAUAGCUGGCUCCGUCAACGGCUGCUGAGAGGCUCGUUUGAAAAUUUCCCUCACUCCUCUUCAGAAUAUAUCCUCCCCAGAACGUCGGCGGCGGGUAAGAUUCUCCGUAUAAUUUCACCAAUUUUCAAUAAAAAUCGCCGUGGCCAGCGAUUGAUUCACUGCCACGCUGAAAUUAAACGUUUA